rnacentral:rRNA from 1 species
UACGGAGGGAGCUAGCGUUAUUCGGAAUUACUGGGCGUAAAGCGCACGUAGGCGGCUUUGUAAGUUAGAGGUGAAAGCCCGGGGCUCAACCCCGGAAUUGCCUUUAAGACUGCAUCGCUUGAAUCCAGGAGAGGUGAGUGGAAUUCCGAGUGUAGAGGUGAAAUUCGUAGAUAUUCGGAAGAACACCAGUGGCGAAGGCGGCUCACUGGAGCUGGUAUUGACGCUGAGGUGCGAAAGCGUGGGGAGCAAACAGG